UGAGGGGCUCGAUCCCAUGAACUGUGAGAUGGUGACCUGAGCUGAAAUCAAGGCGAGGAUGUUCAACUAACUGAGCCACCCAGGGGCCCAGAGGGGCCGUUUGAAACAGAGGGGUCAGAACUUACUAAGAAGAGGACACUUGAGCCAAGACCUGAAGGAAGAGACAAGGGUAAGAGCAUUCCAGGCACAGGGAGAAGCAAGCCCUGAGCUAGAGCCUUUGAGGUGCCCAAGGAAUAGCAGGGAAGCCUGUAAGACUGGAACAGAGCGAGCAAGGGGGAGAGCAGGAGGAAUCAGAACAGGGAGGGGACGGGGCCAAGCGUGCAGGGUCUCGUGGGCCCCAGAAGGACUUGGGGUUUCACUCUGAGUGAGGUGCGAGCUCCAGAAGGUUCUGAGCUGGAGAAAGGCAUAUUUGCUAUCAUAUAUGCACACCAAGCCGGAUCUCUCCUUGCCCCCUCCUCGACGACACCAGGCCCCCCACGACAGGGAUGGACCACACCCCUUGGAGCCAGACUACAUGUGUAACAUCCACCACCUUCCAGGAGCUCAACCUGGGGUGCGAAGGAGGCCUGGAGAAGCCCGGGUCGCCAAACGGGUAAAAUCGGCCUCCCCCUGUCCUCAUGCCCUCCUUCCCUCUCACCUCUCACCUCUCACCUCUCAGGACCAAGACCCUGAGUCCAGCAAGGCUUGCAGCAGACGAGAAGUCCCAGGAGGAGCUGAGGGUCCAGGAGGAGCCUCUGAAACCGAGGCAGAAUGGCCAGACCCCUUUGCCCAGGCCACCAGGGCCUGAUAACACAGCCUUUGCCUUCACAACCUUUGUUCCUACGAAGCCUCAUUUUACAAGAGGGAGAACUGAGCCCGAGGGAGGGUGAGUGGUUUGCCCACAGCCGCACAGCUGGAGAAUGGUGGAACUCAGCCCAG